rnacentral:rRNA from 1 species
CGCUGGCGGCGUGCUUAACACAUGCAAGUCGAACGAUGAAGCCUAGCUUGCUAGGUGGAUUAGUGGCGCACGGGUGAGUAAUAUAUAGAUAACGUGCCUCUUAGUCUGGGAUAGCCAUUGGAAACGAUGAUUAAUACUAGAUACUCCUUCUAACUAUAAAGUUAGUCGGGAAAGUUUUUCGCUAAGAGAUCGGUCUAUAUCCCAUCAGCUUGUUGGUAGUGUAAGAGACUACCAAGGCUAUGACGGGUAGCGGGUUUGAGAGGAUGAUCCGCCACACUGGUACUGAGACACGGACCAGACUCCUACGGGAGGCAGCAGUGAGGAAUAUUGCACAAUGGAGGAAACUCUGAUGCAGCAACGCCGCGUGGAGGAUGACGCAUUUCGGUGUGUAAACUCCUUUUAUAUGUCAAGAAAAUGACGGUAGCAUAUGAAUAAGCACCGGCUAACUCCGUGCCAGCAGCCGCGGUAAUACGGAGGGUGCAAGCGUUAUUCGGAAUCACUGGGCGUAAAGGACGCGUAGGCGGGAUGCCAAGUCUGAUGUGAAAUCCUAUGGCUCAACCAUAGAACUGCAUUGGAAACUGGUAACCUAGAGUAUGGGAGGGGGAGAUGGAAUUAGUGGUGUAGGGGUAAAAUCCGUAGAUAUCACUAGGAAUACCGAAAGCGAAGGCGAUCUCCUGGAACAAUACUGACGCUAAGGCGUGAAAGCGUGGGGAGCAAACGGGAUUAGAUACCCCGGUAGUCCACGCCCUAAACGAUGUUCACUAGUCGUCGGAAUGCUAGUCAUUUCGGUGAUGCA